rnacentral:rRNA from 1 species
CAAUAGCGUAUAUUAAAGUUGUUGCGGUUAAAAGCUCGUAGUUGGAUUUCUGUUGAGAGCAGCCGGUCCACCUUUUGGGUGAGUAUCUGGAUUGGUCUCGGCAUCCUCACAACGAAUGUUUCUGCGCUUGAUUGCGUGGUAUAGGCGUUGUGACUUUUACUUUGAGGAAAUUAGAUGUGUUCACGGCAGGCAUACGCCUUGAAUAUAUUAGCAUGGAAUAAUAUUAUAGGAUUUCGGUUCUAUUUUGUUGGUUUCUAGAGCUGAAAUAAUGAUUAAUAGGGACAAUUGGGGCAGUUCGUGAUUGACGAGUCUAGAGGUGAAAUUCUUGGAUUUCGUCACGACGAACUACUGCGAAAGCAUUUUGCCCAAAGGGAUGUUUUUCAUGA